UCGUUGUGGUGGAGUUCUGAUUCUUUGAUUUCAAUAUCCAUUUGGAUUCAAGCUCAGAGGCGGAGAAGCAGAUCCAAAAUCGAUGAUCUCUGUAACCAGAUUUAGACGAAACAAGAGCAUCGAAGCUCGUCGAAACCACCAAAUCAGGUAUUGAUUCUAACUUGGAAACAUGAUCGGAGAUAUUCGCCGUUAGGUUAUCGGACAUUGACUUAUGAUAAUGGAGAAUCAUGAUAGUUUGCUGCGGAAAAUUGAAAUGUCAGUGCUUGAAAUCAUCGGUCCUUUUAAGAGAAAAUUGGUUGCUCGAUUCCAAUGUCAGUGAUUGAGUUUCGAAGUAGAUGCUCUCAAUUUGUAUAGAGGAACUUCCCAUAGAUGAAUUCACGGACCUGAGUUUAAGAGAUGAUUUGUUCGAUCUGCACAGACAAUGUGGAUCUAGAGUAAGGAGUUGAUUCUAGCCAAGACUGAUUCGAGUCUUUGUGUUCUACUACCUCAAUAAGUUGAGAGUAUAAUCUUUGAGGAUCUUGAAGAAGCAUAUGGACUUGUUCCAAUGAAUCAUUGAAUCGAUUACAAUCACAAUCUGGUCUUGUUUUGAUUGAUUUAUCAUCUGGUUUUGGCAGUGAUAUGUUUUGUUUGAUCAUUAAGAAAAGCAACGACACAUUUUACACUUCACAGAGGUAGAUGAAUUGGCAGUACUUGGGACAAACUACAAUAG
rnacentral:lncRNA from 1 species